AGAGUUUGAUCCUGGCUCAGGAUGAACCCUUGCGACAGGCUUAACACAUGCAAGUCAAGGGGCAGCGGGGGCGAAGCUUGCUUCGCCUGCCGGCGACCGGCGCACAGGUGAGUAACACUUAUGCAACCUGCCCCCCUCACGGGGAUAACCGGGAGAAAUCCCCACUAAUACCGCCUAACGCCUCUGGGCUGCAUGGCCCGGCGGCCAAAGGAAGCGAUUCCGGCGGGGGAUGGGCAUGCGGCGCAUUAAUUAGUCGGCGUGGUAACGGCCCACCGAGGCCACCAUGCAUAGGGGUUCUGAGAAGAAGGUCCCCCACACUGGUACUGAGACACAGACCAGACUCCUACGGGAGGCAGCAGUGAGGAAUAUUGGUCAAUGGGCGGGAGCCUGAACCAGCCAAGUCGCGUGAGGGAAGACGGUCCUACGGAUGGUAAACCUCUUUUGCCGGGGAGCAACGGGGUCCUUGCGAGGGCCCGAUGAGAGUACCCGGAGAAAAAGCAUCGGCUAACUCCGUGCCAGCAGCCGCGGUAAUACGGAGGAUGCGAGCGUUAUCCGGAUUUAUUGGGUUUAAAGGGUGCGUAGGCGGGCUGUUAAGUCAGCGGUCAAAUGUCGGGGCUCAACCCCGGCCUGCCGUUGAAACUGGCGGCCUAGAGUGGGCGAGAAGUAUGCGGAAUGCGUGGUGUAGCGGUGAAAUGCAUAGAUAUCACGCAGAACUCAGGAUUGCGAAGGCAGCAUACCGGCGCCCGACUGACGGUGAGGCACGAAAGCGUGGGUAUCGCACAGGAUUAGAUCACCCUGGUAGUCCACGCAGUAAACGAUGAAUGCUAGCUGUCCGGUUCUUCGGGACUGGGUGGCCCAGCGAAAGCGUUAAGCAUUCCACCUGGGGAGUGCGCCGGCAACGGUGAAACUCAAAGGAAUUGACGGGGGCCCGCACAAGCGGAGGAACAUGUGGUUUAAUUCGAUGAUACGCGAGGAACGUUACCCGGGCUCAAUCGCCAAAGGACAGCCGUUGAGAGGCGGCCUCCCUCCGGGGUCUUUGGCGAGGUGCUGCAUGGUUGUCGUCAGCUCGUGCUGUGAGGUGUCGGCUUCAGUUCCAUAUCGAGCGCAACCCCCAUCUACUGUUGCUAACGGGUAGAGCCGAGGACUCUGUCGAGAUUGCCGGCGCAUGCUUCGCGGAAGGCGGGGUUGUCGUCAUAUCAGCCCGGCCCCUCCGUCCGGGGCGACACACGUGUUGCUAUGGCCGGUACAGCGGGAUGCCAGGGCGCGAGCCCGAGCGGAACCCGAAUCCCGGUUUCAGUUCGGAUUGGCGUGUGCCUCCAGAAACCAUGUAGCUGGAUUCGGUAGUAAUCGCGCAUCAGCCACGGCGCGGUGAAUACGUUCCCGGCCCUCGCCCAAACCGCCCGUCA
rnacentral:rRNA from 1 species